CCUACGGGAGGCAGCAGUAAGGGAAUAUUGGACAAUGGUCGCAAGACUGAUCCAGCCAUGCCGCGUGAGGGAUGAAGGCCCUAUGGGUUGUAAACUUCUUUUGUACGGGAAAAAACCCCUCUACGUGUAGAGGGCUGAUUGUACCGUAAGAAUAAGGAUCGGCUAACUCCGUGCCAGCAGCCGCGGUAAUACGGAGGAUCCAAGCGUUAUCCGGAUUCAUUGGGUUUAAAGGUGCGUAGGCGGAAUGAUAAGUCAGUGGUGAAAGCCUGCAGCUUAACUGCAGAACUGCCAUUGAUACUGUCAAUCUUGAGUACAUUUGAUGUGGCGGAAUGUGUCAUGUAGCGGUGAAAUGCUUAGAUAUGACACAGAACACCGAUUGCGAAGGCAGCUCACAAAACUGUAAACUGACGCUGAAGGCACGAAAGCGUGGGUAUCAAACAGGAUUAGAUACCCUGGUAGUCCACGCUGUAAACUAUNAUAUCUAUGUUGUCGAUAUACUAGUAGUACGUCGUAAGACGAAGACGAUAAGUAAUACACCGAGGAGGACG
rnacentral:rRNA from 1 species